AUACGGAGGAUGCGAGCGUUAUCCGGAUUUAUUGGGUUUAAAGGGAGCGUAGGUGGGAUAUUAAGUCAGCUGUGAAAGUUUGGGGCUCAACCUUAAAAUUGCAGUUGAUACUGGUUUCCUUGAGUACGGUACAGGUGGGCGGAAUUCGUGGUGUAGCGGUGAAAUGCUUAGAUAUCACGAAGAACUCCGAUCGCGAAGGCAGCUCACCGGGCCGGAACUGACACUGAUGCUCGAAAGUGCGGGUAUCAAACAGGAUUAGAUACCCUGGUAGUCCGCACAGUAAACGAUGAAUACUCGCUGUUUGCGAUACACUGUAAGCGGCCAAGCGAAAGCGUUAAGUAUUCCACCUGGGGAGUACGCCGGCAACGGUGA
rnacentral:rRNA from 1 species